rnacentral:rRNA from 1 species
GUGGGGAAUAUUGGACAAUGGGCGCAAGCCUGAUCCAGCCAUGCCGCGUGAGUGAUGAAGGCCCUAGGGUUGUAAAGCUCUUUCAGUGGGGACGAUAAUGACGGUACCCACAGAAGAAGCCCCGGCUAACUUCGUGCCAGCAGCCGCGGUAAUACGAAGGGGGCUAGCGUUGUUCGGAUUUACUGGGCGUAAAGCGCACGUAGGCGGAUCGUUAAGUCGAGGGUGAAAUCCUGGAGCUCAACUCCAGAACUGCCUUCGAUACUGGCGAUCUUGAGUCCGGAAGAGGUGAGUUGAACUCCUAGUGUAGAGGUGGGAUUCGUAGAUAUUAGGAAGAACACCAGUGGCGAAGGCGGCUCACUGGUCCGGUACUGACGCUGAGGUGCGAAAGCGUGGGGAGCAAACAGGAUUAGAAACCCGAGUAGUCC